rnacentral:rRNA from 1 species
CAGGACGAACGCUGGCGGCGUGCCUAAUACAUGCAAGUCGAACGGUCUUUCUAUGGAAGCUUGCUUCCACUGAGAAGAUAGUGGCGAACGGGUGAGUAACACGUGGGUAACCUGCCCAUAAGAGGGGGAUAACAUCCGGAAACGGGUGCUAAUACUGCAUAGUUUUCUUGAUCGCAUGAUCGGGAAAGGAAAGACGGCCUUUGUGCUGUCGCUUAUGGAUGGACCCGCGGCGUAUUAGUUAGUUGGUGAGGUAACGGCUCACCAAGACGAUGAUACGUAGCCGACCUGAGAGGGUGAUCGGCCACAUUGGGACUGAGACACGGCCCAAACUCCUACGGGAGGCAGCAGUAGGGAAUCUUCCGCAAUGGACGAAAGUCUGACGGAGCAACGCCGCGUGAGUGAAGAAAGGUUUUCGGAUCGUAAAACUCUGUUGUCAGAGAAGAACAAGUUGGAGAGUAACUGCUCCAGCCUUGACGGUAUCUGACCAGAAAGCCACGGCUAACUACGUGCCAGCAGCCGC